GUGACCAUGGAAGCAGAGAUUGAAGUGAUGUGGUCACAAGGCAAGGAAUGCUGGCAGCCACCAGACACCGGAAGAGGUGAGGAACAGAUUCUCCCCCGGAAUCUCCAGAGGGAAGACAGCCCUACUGUCACCUUGAUUUUAGUCCAGUGAUGUUGAUUUCAGACUCUGGCCUCCAGAACUAAAUGAAGAAAGUAUCUUACCAACCUAAAGGAAAUGGAGAUAAAAGAGUUGGAGAAGAAGCAUGAUGCCUAAGCACAGUGACCCAUGAUUUUCAAGGUGGUGGCUGCUUUGUCAGAUGAAUUCCGGAGUGACCACAAGCAGAGAUCUCCUAACGACCCAUGAUGGUUAGUGUGAGCAAGUAUGAGCCAUCUAGUGAAGCAAGAAAUAGUGCCUAUAUAAGCACUGAGAUUUGAGGAUGGUUUGUUACCAGAGAAUUGCCUUCCUUAUCCUGACCGAUAAUCAGAUUUAAUAAUAUACCUCUGACUGGUGUUGGCUCCAUCAUACACCAGGGAAACAGCUGUUGCCUAGUACUUAUAUUGCUUAAACAUGUAACUCAAAACCCCUGGUUUAAAUGAACUCCUGAGUGCAUUAUGCAUAA